GCAGCAUUUUGGGCAGCCAGUCUGAGUCAGACACGCCAACAAGACGAGUCAAGAUGGCUGCCAUGCGCCUCCUGCUGCUGUGCGUCGCCUUAAUUUGCCUCUCAGACUUGACAAGUGCGGCAGACCUCCCACCACAGCCCAACUGUCAGGACCUCAGGAAUGUUCGCUGCGAUAUUCUCCGCAGCCCCAUGUGUGGCAAUGAUGGCCGUACCUACAGCAACAUCUGCUCAUACUGUAGUAUGAAACGGUGAGUAACAAGGGCUUUGAAACCCACCUGAGUGUUCAGAUAUUGACGUUAAGACAGCUAAUUUGAACCUAUGACAGAAUCAAUGGAGGGGAAUGAAGAAGUCUGCACCAGCAUGAAGAACUUUCUGUGUGUGAGAGACCC